rnacentral:rRNA from 1 species
CCUACGGGAGGCAGCAGUAAGGAAUACUGCGCAAUGGGCGAAAGCCCGACGCAGCGACGCCGCGUGGGGGAUGAAGGUCUUCGGAUUGUAAACCCCUUUCGGGAGGGAAGAUGGAGCGAGCAAUCGUUCGGACGGUACCUCCAGAAUCAGCCACGGCCAACUUCGUGCCAGCAGCCGCGGUAAU